GGGCUACCAACAAAUGCCUCUAAAAUUGAGCCACCACGAAUUCUAAUGAUUCCACCGUAUUAUGAUUUGAUACUUGGUAUGAAAGGAUGAAUCAGUUGUUUUGUUUUUAAUCCAUUGAAAUAUGGUUAAACUAUUAUUUAAUCUGCACCAGAACUUGAUUGUUCUACAGGUUUUUAUCUUAAGUUUUAGAAAUGUAACUUAUUUACAUUUAAAAGAUCACAUUGAUUGUAAAAGUAAUGGGUUUUCCAUCCAAUUCCUGGUGAGAUAAUAUUUUUAAGACCAAUUUUGUUUUUAACCAGUAAAACAAGAAUUUUGUUCAUGGAGUUUAUGGUCAGGAAAAUACAAAAGAUAAUGGCCUGGUCCCAAGCUUUUCUUGGUAUAAGCAAUUACUGGUCAAAUUUUGUUACUAUUUUCGAGAUACUAAGGAAAGAAGAUGUUGGGACUAUUCUUUAUUUUGUAUUGAAGGUCUAUAUUUGAAAGUGCUAGAUCAGCUAAAGUAAAGAAUUUAUGAGAAAUCAAAUGAAAGUUAUGUACAAACAUUGCUCUUUUAGCCUUGAAAAUAAAUUCAAGGUCAAAAGAAAAAAAUGCGGACAUGUCAAAUGAUUUUCAUGAAAUCCAUGUCAGUGAAAAAGAUGGAAGACCCUAGAAAUAUCUCUGACUGUAGUCUUUUGUCAGUUAUUCUAACUGUCUUGCAUUUGCACCAAUUUUCUAAUGAAACUGGUAUGCACAUAGUAUAAAAUUGUUUGUUUAAAAUAAUGAUUGUUUUCAUAUCAUUAAAUCAUUGAAUAAA
rnacentral:sRNA from 1 species